GAUGAACGCUGACAGAAUGCUUAACACAUGCAAGUCGAUGGGGAAGUGGUGCUUGCACCAUGGUAACCAUGGCGGACGGGUGAGUAACGCGUAAGGAACUUGCCUGCGGGACUGGGAUAACAGCAGUAAACUGCUGAUAAUACCGGAUAAGGUCAUUAAGCUGCAUAGCUUAGUGAUGAAAGGAGACGCCUGCGGAGAGCCUUGCGUCCUAUUAGCUAGUUGGAGGGGUAACGGCCCACCAAGGCGAAGAUAGGUAGCCGGCCUGAGAGGGUGGACGGCCACAAGGGGACUGAGAUACGGCACUUACUCCUACGGGAGGCAGCAGUGGGGAAUAUUGGACAAUGGGGGCAACCCUGAUCCAGCAAUUCGGUGUGCACGAAGACGGUUUUCGGAUUGUAAAGUGCUUUCAGCAGGGAAGAAGGAAGUGACGGUACCUGCAGAAGAAGCGACGGCUAAAUACGUG
rnacentral:rRNA from 1 species